GGAGGAUGCGAGCGUUAUCCGGAUUUAUUGGGUUUAAAGGGUGCGUAGGCGGCGAGUUAAGUCAGCGGUAAAAGCCCGGGGCUCAACCCCGGCCCGCCGUUGAAACUGGCUUGCUUGAGUUGGAGAGAAGUAGGCGGAAUGCGCGGUGUAGCGGUGAAAUGCUUAGAUAUCGCGCAGAACUCCGAUUGCGAAGGCAGCCUACCGGCUCCAGACUGACGCUGAGGCACGAAAGCGUGGGUAUCGAA
rnacentral:rRNA from 1 species